CCGGCACGGGUGAGUAACACGUAUCCAACCUGCCGUCUACUCUUGGACAGCCUUCUGAAAGGAAGAUUAAUACAAGAUGGCAUCAUGAGUCCGCAUGUUCACAUGAUUAAAGGUAUUCCGGUAGACGAUGGGGAUGCGUUCCAUUAGAUAGUAGGCGGGGUAACGGCCCACCUAGUCUUCGAUGGAUAGGGGUUCUGAGAGGAAGGUUCCCAACAUUGGAACUGAGGCACGGUCCAA
rnacentral:rRNA from 1 species